rnacentral:rRNA from 1 species
GAUUAACGCUGGCGGCGUGCAUAACACAUGCAAGUCGAACGAUGAAACUUAAAUGAUUUCUUCGGAAUGAACUUAAGUGGAUUAGUGGCGGACGGGUGAGUAACGCGUGAGUAACCUGCCUUACACAAGGGGAUAGCCGUUGGAAACGACGAAUAAUACCCUAUGAAACUAUCACUUCGCAUGAAGCGAUAGUCAAAGUGUUAGCGGUGUAAGAUGGACUUGCGUCUGAUUAGCUAGUUGGUGAGAAAAAAGCCCACCAAGGCAACGAUCAGUAGCCGGCUUGAGAGAGUGUACGGCAACAUUGGGACUGAGACACGGCCCAGACUCCUACGGGAGGCAGCAGUGGGGAAUUUUGCACAAUGGGGGAAACCCGGAUGCAGCGACGCCGCGUGAUUUAGAAGGCCUUCGGGUUGUAAAAAUCUUUUGUAUAGGAAGAAAAUGACAGUACUAUACGAAUAAGGUCCGGCUAAUUACGUG